AUUGAACGCUGGCGGCAGGCUUAACACAUGCAAGUCGAACGAUGAUUAUCUAGCUUGCUAGAUAUGAUUAGUGGCGGACGGGUGAGUAACAUUUAGGAAUCUGCCUAGUAGUGGGGGAUAGCUCGGGGAAACUCGAAUUAAUACCGCAUACGACCUACGGGUGAAAGGGGGCGCAAGCUCUUGCUAUUAGAUGAGCCUAAAUCAGAUUAGCUAGUUGGUGGGGUAAAGGCCCACCAAGGCGACGAUCUGUAACUGGUCUGAGAGGAUGAUCAGUCACACCGGAACUGAGACACGGUCCGGACUCCUACGGGAGGCAGCAGUGGGGAAUAUUGGACAAUGGGGGCAACCCUGAUCCAGCCAUGCCGCGUGUGUGAAGAAGGCCUUUUGGUUGUAAAGCACUUUAAGCAGGGAGGAGAGGCUAAUGGUUAAUACCCAUUAGGUUAGACGUUACCUGCAGAAUAAGCACCGGCUAACUCUGUGCCAGCAGCCGCGGUAAUACAGAGGGUGCGAGCGUUAAUCGGAAUUACUGGGCGUAAAGCGAGUGUAGGUGGCUCAUUAAGUCACAUGUGAAAUCCCCGGGCUUAACCUGGGAACUGCAUGUGAUACUGGUGGUGCUAGAAUAUGUGAGAGGGAAGUAGAAUUCCAGGUGUAGCGGUGAAAUGCGUAGAGAUCUGGAGGAAUACCGAUGGCGAAGGCAGCUUCCUGGCACAAUAUUGACACUGAGAUUCGAAAGCGUGGGUAGCAAACAGGAUUAGAUACCCUGGUAGUCCACGCCGUAAACGAUGUCUACUAGCCGUUGGGGUCCUUGAGACUUUAGUGGCGCAGUUAACGCGAUAAGUAGACCGCCUGGGGAGUACGGCCGCAAGGUUAAAACUCAAAUGAAUUGACGGGGGCCCGCACAAGCGGUGGAGCAUGUGGUUUAAUUCGAUGCAACGCGAAGAACCUUACCUGGUCUUGACAUAGUGAGAAUCCUGUAGAGAUGCGGGAGUGCCUUCGGGAAUUCACAUACAGGUGCUGCAUGGCUGUCGUCAGCUCGUGUCGUGAGAUGUUGGGUUAAGUCCCGCAACGAGCGCAACCCUUUUCCUUAUUUGCCAGCGGGUUAAGCCGGGAACUUUAAGGAUACUGCCAGUGACAAACUGGAGGAAGGCGGGGACGACGUCAAGUCAUCAUGGCCCUUACGACCAGGGCUACACACGUGCUACAAUGGUAGGUACAGAGGGUUGCUACACAGCGAUGUGAUGCUAAUCUCAAAAAGCCUAUCGUAGUCCGGAUUGGGGUCUGCAACUCGACUCCAUGAAGUCGGAAUCGCUAGUAAUCGCAGAUCAGAAUGCUGCGGUGAAUACGUUCCCGGGCCU
rnacentral:rRNA from 1 species